AUAUGGUCAAGCGACUAAGGGUCCAUGGUGGAUGCCUUGGAGCUAUCCGGCGAUGAAGGGCGUGGUAAGCUGCGAAAAGCCUCGGUUAGAAGCAAACAUUCUAAUACCCGAGGAUUCCCGAAUGGGGUAACCCGAUGGAUUUUAUAUCCGUCAUUAUGCAGUGAAUAAAUAGCUGUAUAAAGCGAGACUCAGGGAACUGAACCAUCUAAGUACCUGAAGGAAAAGAAAUCAAUUUAGAGAUUCCCUUAGUAGCGGCGAGCGAACGGGGAUUAGCCCAAACCAAGUGCAUUUCGGUGCAUCUGGGGUUGUAGGGCAUGCAAUAUAUGUAUCAGACGACGAUAGCAGAAUGGUAUUGGGAAAGCCAACCGAAGAAGGUGAAAGUCCUGUAAGCGAAAUCGAAAUCUGGCUAGCAUGUUCCUGAGUAAGGCGGGACACGAGUAAUCCUGUCUGAAUCUGGGGGGCCCACCCUCCAAGGCUAAAUACGAGAUAGCUACCGAUAGCGAAUAGUACCGUGAGGGAAAGGUGAAAAGCACCCCGGGAGGGGAGUGAAAUAGAACCUGAAACCGUGGACCUACAAGCGGUCAAAGCCCUAAUACGGGGUGAUGGCGUGCCUUUUGUAGAAUGAGCCUGCGAGUUAAUAUAUUAAGCAAGGUUAAGGUAUAGAAGUACCGGAGCCGGAGCGAAAGCGAGUCUGAAUAGGGCGACUGAGUUUGAUGUAUUAGACCCGAAGCCGGGUGAUCUAUUUAUGGUCAGGUUGAAGCUUGGGUAACACCGAGUGGAGGACCGAACACUAGUCUGUUGAAAAAGGCAGUGAUGAACUGUGAAUAGGAGUGAAAGGCUAAUCAAACCCGGAGAUAGCUGGUUCUCCUCGAAAUGGCUUUAGGGUCAGCGUCAUAUGGUUAACAUCGGAGGUAGAGCACUGAAUAGGCUAGGGCCUGUCACAGGGUACCAAACUUAAUCAAACUCCGAAUGCCGAUGUUCAAAGUAUGGCAGUGAGACUGCGGGUGAUAAGAUUCGUAGUCGAAAGGGAAAGAGCCCAGACCGUCAGCUAAGGUCCCUAAACUAUGCUAAGUGGAAAAGGAAGUACGAUUGCACAGACAGCCAGGAGGUUGGCUUAGAAGCAGCCAUUCCUUUAAAGAGUGCGUAAUAGCUCACUGGUCGAGUAGUUGUGCGCCGACAAUGUAACGGGGCUAAGCAUAGUACCGAAGCUACGGAUUCAUAGAUUUAUCUAUGGAUGGUAGAGGAGCAUUCUGUAGGCCGACGAAGGUGAUCUGAAAGGGUUGCUGGAGGUAUCAGAAGAGAGAAUGCAGGCAUGAGUAACGAAAAGGAAGGUGAGAUCCCUUCCCGCCGAAAAUCUAAGGUUUCCUGGGUAAAGGUACUCUUCCCAGGGUUAGUCGGCCCCUAAGGCGAGGCAGAAAUGCGUAGUCGAUGGGAAACUGGUUAAUAUUCCAGUACAUCUAGUAAUUUCGAAGGGAUGACACUUAAGGAGAUCUCUUGCCAGGCGUUGGUUGUCCUGGUCCAAGCAUUUAGACGUUGAUUUGUGUAGGAAAAUCCGCAUGAAGAGUUGAGAUGUUAAGGGUAGCGAUCCUACGGGUGAGCGAAGUUGAGUGAUUCAUCGAGUCAAGAAAUAAUCUCUAAGGUUAGGUUACUAGGUACCGUACCGCAAACCGACACAGGUAGAUGGGAUGAGAAUUCUAAGGCGUACGAGAGAACCCACGUUAAGGAACUCGGCAAAAUACAUGCGUAACUUAGGGAGAAGCAUGGCUCAGCGCGUGAUGGCGGAGUUGCAGAGUCCAGGAGAAAGCGACUGUUUACCAAAAACACAGGUCAAUGCGAAAAUGCAAAUUGAAGUAUAUUGACUGACACCUGCCCGGUGCUGGAAGGUUAAGAGGAGCUGUUAGCGCUUGCGUGAAGCAGUGAAUUGAAGCCCCAGUAAACGGCGGCCGUAACUAUAACGGUCCUAAGGUAGCGAAAUUCCUUGUCGGGUAAGUUCCGACCCGCACGAAUGGUGUAACGACUUUCUUACUGUCUCAACGUGGGACUCGGUGAAAUUGAAGUAUCGGUGAAGAUGCCGAUUACCUGUGGUUAGACGGAAAGACCCCGUGAACCUUUACUGUAUCCUGAUAUUGAACUAUGGCUGCUAAUGUGUAGGAUAGGUGGGAGACUUUGAUGUAUGGUCGUCAGGCUGUACGGAGUUGUUGGUGAAAUACCACCCUUUAUUAGUUAUAUUUCUAACGUGGCCCGUAAUCCGGGUCAUGGACAAUGUCAGGUGGGCAGUUUGACUGGGGCGGUCGCCUCCUAAAGAGUAACGGAGGCGCGCAAAGGUUACCUUAGCAUGGUUGGAAAUCAUGCUGUAAGCGCAAUGGCAUAAGGUAGCUUGACUGCGAGACUUACAAGUCGAGCAGGUACGAAAGUAGGUCAUAGUGAUCUGGCGAUUCUGAGUGGAAGGGUCGUCACUUAACGGACAAAAGGUACUCCGGGGAUAACAGGCUGAUUUUGCCCAAGAGUUCAUAUCGACGGCAAAGUUUGGCACCUCGAUGUCGGCUCAUCGCAUCCUGGGGCUGGAGCAGGUCCCAAGGGUAUGGCUGUUCGCCAUUUAAAGCGGUACGCGAGCUGGGUUCAGAACGUCGCGAGACAGUUCGGUCCCUAUCUGCCACAGGCGUUGGAUGUUUGAGAGGAUCUGUUUUUAGUACGAGAGGACCGAAACGGACGAACCUCUGGUGUAUCAGUUAUCGUGCCAACGGUAAGUGCUGAGUAGCUAAGUUCGGAAGGGAUAACCGCUGAAAGCAUCUAAGUGGGAAGCCUUCCUCAAGAUGAGACAUCCCUCUCCCUUUAAGGGAGCUGAAGGAAUCUCGAAGAAUACGAGUUUGAUAGGCUGGCGGUCUAAGUGUGGAAACAUAUUGAGCCGACCAGUACUAAUUUUCCGUGAGGCUUGACCAUAU
rnacentral:rRNA from 1 species